rnacentral:rRNA from 1 species
UUUUGCAUAAUGAGCCUGCGAGUUGUGGUGUCUGGCAAGGUUAAGCAAACGCGAAGCCGUAGCGAAAGCGAGUCUGAAUAGGGCGCUUAGUCAGAUGCUGCAGACCCGAAACGAAGUGAUCUAUCCAUGAGCAAGUUGAAGCUAGUGUAAGAACUAGUGGAGGACUGAACCCAUAGGCGUUGAAAAGCCCCGGGAUGACUUGUGGAUAGGGGUGAAAGGCCAAUCAAACUUCGUGAUAGCUGGUUCUCUCCGAAAUAUAUUUAGGUAUAGCGUUGUGUCGUAAUAUAAGGGGGUAGAGCACUGAAUGGGCUAGGGCAUACACCAAUGUACCAAACCCUAUCAAACUCCGAAUACCUUAUAUGUAAUCACAGCAGUCAGGCGGCGAGUGAUAAAAUCCGUCGUCAAGAGGGAAACAACCCAGACUACCAGCUAAGGUCCCUAAAUCUUACUUAAGUGGAAAACGAUGUGAAGUUACUUAAACAACCAGGAGGUUGGCUUAGAAGCAGCCAUCCUUUAAAGAAAGCGUAAUAGCUCACUGGUCUAGUGAUUUUGCGCGGAAAAUAUAACGGGGCUAAAGUAAGUACCGAAGCUGUAGACUUAGUUUACUAAGUGGUAGGAGAGCGUUCUAUUUGCGUCGAAGGUAUACCGGUAAGGAGUGCUGGAGCGAAUAGAAGUGAGCAUGCAGGCAUGAGUAGCGAUAAUUAAUGUGAGAAUCAUUAACGCCGUAAACCCAAGGUUUCCUACGCGAUGCUCGUCAUCGUAGGGUUAGUCGGGUCCUAAGUCGAGUCCGAAAGGGGUAGACGAUGGCAAAUUGGUUAAUAUUCCAAUACCAACAUUAGUGUGCGAUGGAAGGACGCUUAGGGCUAAGGGGGCUAGCGGAUGGAAGUGCUAGUCUAAGGUCGUAGGAGGUUAUACAGGCAAAUCCGUAUAACAAUACUCCGAGAACUGAAAGGCUUUUUGAAGUCUUCGGAUGGAUAGAAGAACCCCUGAUGCCGUCGAGCCAAGAAAAGUUUCUAAGUUUAGCUAAUGUUGCCCGUACCGUAAACCGACACAGGUGGGUGGGAUGAGUAUUCUAAGGCGCGUGGAAGAACUCUCUUUAAGGAACUCUGCAAAAUAGCACCGUAUCUUCGGUAUAAGGUGUGGUUAGCUUCGUACUAGGAUUUACUCCGAAAGCGAAGAAACUUACAACAAAGAGUCCCUCCCGACUGUUUACCAAAAACACAGCACUCUGCUAACUCGUAAGAGGAUGUAUAGGGUGUGACGCCUGCCCGGUGCUCGAAGGUUAAUUGAUGGGGUUAGCAUUAGCGAAGCUCUUGAUCGAAGCCCGAGUAAACGGCGGCCGUAACUAUAACGGUCCUAAGGUAGCGAAAUUCCUUGUCGGUUAAAUACCGACCUGCAUGAAUGGCGUAACGAGAUGGGAGCUGUCUCAAAGAGGGAUCCAGUGAAAUUGUAGUGGAGGUGAAAAUUCCUCCUACCCGCGGCAAGACGGAAAGACCCCGUGGACCUUUACUACAGCUUGACACUGCUACUUGGAUAAGAAUGUGCAGGAUAGGUGGGAGGCUUUGAGUAUAUGACGCCAGUUGUAUAUGAGCCAUUGUUGAGAUACCACUCUUUCUUAUUUGGGUAGCUAACCAGCUUGAGUUAUCCUCAAGUGGGACAAUGUCUGGUGGGUAGUUUGACUGGGGCGGUCGCCUCCCAAAUAAUAACGGAGGCUUACAAAGGUUGGCUCAGAACGGUUGGAAAUCGUUCGUAGAGUAUAAAGGUAUAAGCCAGCUUAACUGCAAGACAUACAAGUCAAGCAGAGACGAAAGUCGGUCUUAGUGAUCCGGUGGUUCUGUGUGGAAGGGCCAUCGCUCAAAGGAUAAAAGGUACCCCGGGGAUAACAGGCUGAUCUCCCCCAAGAGCUCACAUCGACGGGGAGGUUUGGCACCUCGAUGUCGGCUCAUCGCAUCCUGGGGCUGGAGCAGGUCCCAAGGGUAUGGCUGUUCGCCAUUUAAAGCGGUACGCGAGCUGGGUUCAGAACGUCGUGAGACAGUUCGGUCCCUAUCUGCCGUGGGCGUAAGAAGAUUGAAGAGAUUUGACCCUAGUACGAGAGGACCGGGUUGAACAAACCACUGGUGUAGCUGUUGUUCUGCCAAGAGCAUCGCAGCGUAGCUAAGUUUGGAAAGGAUAAACGCUGAAAGCAUCUAAGCGUGAAGCCAACUCUAAGAUGAAUCUUCUCUAAGCUCUCUAGAAGACUACUAGUUUGAUAGGCUGGGUGUGUAAUGGAUGAAAGUCCUUUAGCUGACCAGUACUAAUAGAGCGUUUGGCUUAUCUUUAAUAAAGCAU